UGAGGAAUAUUGGUCAAUGGACGAGGGUCUGAACCAGCCAAGUAGCGUGAAGGAUGACUGCCCUAUGGGUUGUAAACUUCUUUUAUACGGGAAUAAAGUUAGCCACGUGUGGCUUUUUGUAUGUACCGUAUGAAUAAGGAUCGGCUAACUCCGUG
rnacentral:rRNA from 1 species